UUGAAAUGCACACAGACAACAAUUGAUCCGAAGUCGCACUCGGUUCUAUGCGAGCGCUCGGUUAAGCUUGAACUUGACCAUGGGAAUUGCAUGCGAAAUGAGGUAGCUCCCGUGCCCCUUGCGCCCCUUCCUUUAUGCUGCACAAGUUGUUACGGCUGAUGUCAACCCUCAUUAUCAUAAAACUCAGCCCGCUUCUAAUUAAAGAAAAGGAACAGUUGGGAGAGGGGCUUAUUUCACCAGACACCACAGCCAGAGUCCUCACGCACUACUCCGCACCAAGCACCCGGCACCACACGGCUUUCUCAGUGGCAACAGGUGCUGAAGGGAAGUAUCUCCUUGGCGGGAUGAGGACGUCAUUCACCCGAGGGUUCGUGAGAAGACCCCCACCUUCAAAGCGCACAGAGAAGCGGUCAUUUUAACAAGGCGACUCUGACAAGAAGUGCAAUGAGUUCCACCAGAGGUUGGGAGAGAACCACCCUGCACCCUAGGACUUGGAUAGAUGGGCCCUGAAGGGCCACAAGCAAGCUAGCCCAAGCUUGAGGAAUCUCUGGGGAUGUGGGGAUGGCUUCUGUUACAGACAAUUAGCAGUUCAGAGUGAUAGCCACUAUAGAGGAGGAAGAUGAGGAGGAGGAGGAGGAGGAUACAGCUGAACCCAGAGAUCUUGCAGCUGCUCAUUGCCACAGGCUCUUCAUCCCUCACCAUCUCCCUGAGAAGACAGGGCUAUGUACAGGCUUGGCCCCGGAGUGGGCAGGCAGGCUCCAGAGCCCCGCGGCUCCCCAUCUAUACAAGCCUCCUCAGCGAAAUCAAUACACAGAAUACACAGCAGGGUCGCACCACGCAGCCCUCAACACCUCACACAGGGAGCCCACGGCACACGCACUGGGGCAGUCAGGUCCAGACUAUACAGGGCAGCAACACAACCUCGGCUUGCAGGGGUGCACUGUUUAGUUUUGCCGACGGGAGUGGAAACAAUCUACUUUCUAACCUGUAGAUCAGCUCUAAAAAUUACAUGCAUAAAAAACACAAGAAGCCUUUAACUUCAGCACAGAAGCAGCAGUUUUGAGAAUGGUAGAUCACAAUAAAGAAACAGAAGUCCAAAGUAACACGUACAAAUUUGCACAGCACACCACGACUGCCACACUGCGCCAGUACAGCGCGACUAGAGGCUACAGAGGUGGGAAGCCAACACAUGUACGUCCGUUAACACCACAGACCUCACUCCAGUGCCAGAGCCAUCAGACUUUCACUUUCCUUCAAUGCAGCAGUCUGGCAUUUCUGGGGGUACAUCUGUCCAUUCCAACUUACCAACAUUUAAGUUAUUUAAUUAAAUCAGUGCAGACUCUUGGAACCCAAAAAACAGGACUCUUCUUACCCUCUAAGUCAGAGCAGCAGGCAGAAUCUAAAAUAAAACUCUUUUACAGCAAGAUUUACCUUUUUGAGCUGCUCCCCUAUUGGAUUUGCGAUGGGAUCAACUGCACUAGUUCCCUAACUUGAAAACACUUAAUAAAGUGACUGCUGGGAUGAACCCGGUUAUCUUUCUCCAGGAAGACACAGCCACAUUCCCAGCCUUGGCUAUCCAAGGAUUGAUCCAGCAUCCCGAGGGGAUCAACCACAAAGUGAUCGGACCUGGAACUGGUUUGACUGGAUCGGAAUGUCCUCUUUCAAAAUGGCUGCCGAGAUGUGCAGAAUAGGGUGACAGGAUGAAAUAGAACACUUAGAAAGCUCUUCGUCCUAGCUCUAGAACCCCCUCUGUGCAGUGCCAGCAUGGGCACUGAGAAAGCGAGAUACCAAGACAUGCCAACACCAGCAGGAAUAGGUCUGGAAAUGUGUUGGAACUGAUUGAAAACCUGGACAGCAGUAGGUGAGUUUUUUUUUUUUAAGAUGAAGUCAUCGUCUAUUUAUAAUGGGAGUGUAGGUAUUCACAGGUAAGUACUGGCAAGCAUAUAGCUCCCAAUAAUAAGUUUCACAUGUUCUGUGUGCUAUUUCAACAUAUUGCACAAGCACUACAUACAAAAACAAUAAAGGAAAAAAAAAAAUCAGUUUAAAUAUGAAUUGUGUAUUUCUUUUGUGUUUGGCGUACUGAUCUUAAUAACUUAUUUUGUAAGAUUUUGUCAUGUGUUUUAGCUGCAGUAUUUGCUAUUGUGUUAUAAACCUGAUUUAAGAGUCAUUUAGAGUGGUGGUGUUUUAAAAAGUUACAGUU